UACAGAGGUCCCGAGCGUUGUUCGGAUUCAUUGGGCGUAAAGGGUGUGUAGGAGGUUGGGUAAGUCGGAUGUGAAAUCUCACCGCUUAACGGUGAAACUGCAUUCGAUACUGCUCAGCUAGAGGACCGGAGGGGGGAUCGGAAUUCUUGGUGUAGCAGUGAAAUGCGUAGAUAUCAAGAGGAACACCGGUGGCGAAGGC
rnacentral:rRNA from 1 species